UGCAGAUUUCCCUGUCCUAGUGUGGAGGCACAGGGGUUCCACCAGGGCGCCGCCCAGCCUGUGCCACCACUCUCAGAUGCCGCCGGCCCUCCACUGCGUUUGCGUCUGAAAGAAGGGGCCCUUCAUCUUGGUACAACUCACGACAGAACUGGGGUCCUCUCCAGGGCUUCACCACGUAGCCGGCAUCCUGGCAGGUCUCGGUCAAGGCCGACAUGUGGGCACACAGCGUCUGCUGCAGCCCCUGGAAAUUACACAUGUCAAACACGCAGUUGUCAAAGAAGGAAGAGGCCCUGAGGUGAGGCAGGCAGGCCCUGAGGAGAGAGGCCAGGUCAGAAGGAAUGAGGGGGCAGAACUUCCCGCCUCCUGCCACGGAGGACCUGGUCCCCCCGCCAUGGCCCUUCCAGUCCCCCCACCCCGGGCCCCCGCACAUACUCAAAAGCUCCGUGAGCGACCGUGAGCCGUCCACAGAACUCUGGCCCUGACACAGUGUUCUGCAAGGCAGUGUCGCAAGGUGGGGGAGAUGCCUGGUUCUCCUGGCACCUGGAAGAGACCCACCCCAAACGCCCUAAGGACCGAGGCUCACCUCCACGCCCAGCCCGCCCCAGCAGUCUCCCGGCUCUCGGCAUCCCCUAGUGGAGAACAUCUGAACACCAAGAGGUGGGAAAACUUGGAGCCGGGCAAGCAAGAGGCGGGGCUGCCCACAAUCGCCUGGGGAUGACUGACUGGUGGUGGGGCUGGGGGUGAACGUGGUGGCAAUGAACUCUGCUGGGAAUGGGAGUGGGGAGAAGAAUGACAGACGUGGGGGUGUGCAGCAGAGGAGAAAAGGGGUGAUGCCAGUCGGGGUUCUUGGUUCCUCAAAGGGGCAAAGGAGCAGGAGGGUGGAGACGGAGGCGGGGAGGCCCUCACUCGUGGUCUUCAUCCUCCGAGGCCUGCCAGCUGCUACCCAGCUCCAUCUCAUCUCGCGCUGGUCUACCAUCCGGCUUCCGGUUGUCGUUGCUACUGUCUCCAUCAUAGUUGCCACAGAAACCGCAGAGUUUGCCAGAACCGAAUGCCGUCUGCAGCUGCACAGAUCGCCCACUUGGAGUCAGGAAGACACCUUUAGAAGGUAUGGCUGGGAGGGUGACUCGCUGACCCCCAACCUGGAAGGCGGGGCCGAGGGAGGAGACAGAGAGACAGAUCCGGGGGUCAAGGAGGACCCCCAGCGGACUCCCAGAUCCCCACCGCCACGCUAAUGACCUCUUCUGCUCCACGUGGAAUGCUCUGGAGGAGAUGGGCGGGACAAGGCCACAGCCAAGGCCGGCAGCCCUGCAGGGCUGAGAACGGACUCACCAGCGUGUGUCUGCCCUUGAGCAGGGUGAUGGUGGUUUCGGGCAGAGUCACGUAGACCUUGCUCAGGCAGGACACGCCCUCCUGUCCUCGCUCCUCAUUCUUCA
rnacentral:lncRNA from 1 species